rnacentral:tRNA from 1 species
GCCAGUUUGGCUCAGUGGAUAGAGCGUCCGCCUGCGAACUGAAAGGUCCCAGGUUCAAUUCUGGUAAGGGCA